UACGAAGGGGGCUAGCGUUGCUCGGAAUCACUGGGCGUAAAGGGUGCGUAGGCGGGUCUUUAAGUCAGGGGUGAAAUCCUGGAGCUCAACUCCAGAACUGCCUUUGAUACUGAGGAUCUUGAGUUCGGGAGAGGUGAGUGGAACUGCGAGUGUAGAGGUGAAAUGCGUAGAGAUCCGGAGGAACACCAGUGGCGAAGGCGACACGCUGGGCCGUACCUGACACUGAUGCGCGACAGCAUGGGGAGCAAACAGG
rnacentral:rRNA from 1 species